AGACCGCGGGGGCGGGUCGGACGCCUUGCCCAGCCUCAGGCACCCCCUUCAGCCCGUCUGGCCCAUUCCCACUCCCCCAGAGUGCUUGAGGUUCCCGGGACGUUGAAUCCAGCGCCGUGCCUCGCCCGCAGCUGCCCCCGCCCGAGCAGGGCACUGUGCCCGUGGUGAUGCGUGUGCGGCCCUGCGAGCGGAGCGGGCUGGGCCCCCUCCUGCACCUCCGCCACAUCCUCGUCUUCAACCCCGAGGAGCCCGCGGCCCCCCCGUGGGCCCAGGCACCGGGGCAAGGACCGGCUCGUCCGGCACCAGCUUUCCCGGAAGGGCACCGGGCAGGAGGAGGUGUUCCAGCACAGCACCCGCGGGCUCCUGCACAGUGUCCUCGGGGGCUACAGCUGCUCCGUGUUUGUCUAUGGUGUGAUGGGAGCAGGAAAAACCUACACAGUGCUGGGCUGGGAGAAAAACCAGUUCUUCCCUAUUGCUCUGUGCUUUGCCCCAGCUGAAAGCUCAAGAGGCAGAGGCAGCAUCAGAAGAAGUCAAAAAAGCUGGGGAGAGCAGCCAGAUGUGUGUGGCCAGCAGGACUAGAGGAGGGAUUGUCCCCCUGUGCUGUCACUGGUGAGGCUCCACCUUGAAUCCUGGGGUCAGUUCUGGGCCCCUGAGGAGAAGAAGAAUGUUGAGGGGAUGGAGCACAUCUAGAGAAGAGCCAUGGAGCUGGGGAAGGGUCUGGAGCACAAUCUGCUGAGGAGCCACUGAGGGAGCUGGGGUUGUUCAGCCUGGAGCAAAGGAGCUUCCUCCUGGGUGCCUGUGCAAGCGUCACCUGAGGAGCACUUGGAGGAGCCACCCCAGUGACUCAAAGAUGGAAGACUCAUGCUUAAUGUGCACCAUGUUGGAGGGCGUGGAGCAAGUCUGCACGCUGUGUCACUGAGCAGAUGGUGACCCCGAUAUUUCUGGGUCCACACUGGAGACAGACGGGAUCUGUGCCCAUGAGUUUGUUUGAGGACGCUGCAGAAUACUUGACUUUUGGUGUCAGACAUGGCAUUGAGCAGGCAGCACAAAAGCCCUGCUUCGUCUGCAGCCAGAGCGGGGCCACCAUCACCUGUGCUGGGAGAUGGGUUGUGACUGCAGUUUCCAUCUGCCUUGUGCUGCAGAGGGUGAAUGUGUCACCCAGUACAACUUGUCUCUGUUCAGGGCCUUCUGCUGGGAGCACGGCCCACAGCAGGCAGUGGAGGCAGCCCUGGAGGAGAAUGACAUCUGCCUCAUCUGCCUGGAACUUGUGGCGGACAUAAGGGUGUGCCCAGUGUGAAACAUGCAUGGAUCCACGGGAGCUGCACCCAGCAAUACGCUAUAUGCAGUGGAUUUACACAUUUCCAGUGCCCACACUGCAGAAACAGUGUGACCAGUUUCAGCUGGAAAUGUGCAUUAUGGGGAUCCAAAUCCCCCUCAGGCUGCCAUCUGGGGACAGCCAAGCCUUUGCAGAACCACAUGUGAGGCACAGCUGCUGUGAUGACUGAGAGAGCCUUUGCCCAGGUGGAAGAAGAUCAGAAGGUUGUAAAAAUAGGGACAAUGGUUCAAACUUUGUCUUGGAAGAACACAUCCAACAUUCCCCUGGCCAAUUUUGCUGUUUAAUUCAGCCUCUUACGGGGGGGACAUAGUGUCUGAGCUGUCUGUAGUGUCUGAGCUGGCAAAGUAAAGAUGUGACCUUGAAGGCCCAGCAGUUAGAAAAACAUUCCACUGUUAUCAGUCUUAGUUGCAACAGUCUGCUACUAGUUAAAAGAAAGCUUACUGAACGAAAAAAAAAAUCAGUAGAAGGAAAAAUAGCUUAAUCCUGGCUCAAACCAGGACAGCUGGGCUUUUAAAUGAAUGCACUUUUAAAAAUAACAUUUAAAGUUCCAAGGUUUGAUAUUUUUUGGGGGGCAGUUGAGCACUGACUUUACACAGAAAAACACAUUUGAAAUCUGUUUAAUGUUUUAAGGGGGGUCGGGGACAAAUUUGGGGCCCUCUUCAGCUAUUUUGGGUUGAGGGAUCUCUUUUUCAGGCUCUUUUUGGGACUAUUAUGCUGCAAAAAGGUUUUAAAAUCUGUUUAAUCUUUUAAGGAUUAACAUUUAAAGAGGGGCAAGCAUGGAUUUGGGGCAUUUUCCCCGUUUUGUGGUAAAAUUCAGCGUGUUUAAAUUUAAAUUAUUGAUAUUUAACUUUAUUUAAAUCAAUGCUAUUUAUUGAAAUUCUUAUACCCCAGAUUAGGGACCCUGUUUUUAGGGAUCUUUUUGGGUGAUUUUGAGGCACGUUGGAGGAGUUUCAAUGCCUUAUUUUUUAAUUAAUAAUAUUGAACUAAAAUAAUAAAUUUAAAUAAAGUUUAAAUAAAAGUUUGCAUGUAUUUAAAGCAAAAAUUAAAAGUGUAAACUCAAAAGUUUAAGUUAAAAUAAAAUUUAAUA